UCCCUGGAGGACUAGUGGUUAGGCCACAGCGCUCUCACCGCUGCGGCCCGGGUUUGAUUCCCAGCCAGAGAA
rnacentral:tRNA from 1 species